GCUCAAGAAACACGGCUACCAACAGGAUGGCCAGGACACCGCUGCCUAGAAAGACACACAGACGCACGUCAGUGAUAUCUGGAUCAACCUUGUUCCACCCCUCCCCAUCUCCACAGACAGCUAGCCAUCGGAUUGCAGGCGAUCCAAGAAGAAAGAAGCACAGAAGCCACCUGGGCAUGCGUCUCCCACCUCCUGCUCCCUCUUCCACCUCAGCCUCACCCUAGAGCACUGCACCUACCUCCACAUUGUAUGGGACUUUGUUGGCCAGCACUGGCCAUCGACUCUGCUGUCUGAAAUCAGCUCCUGGGAUUGGCCCAGUUCUAUAACUGGCAAGCGGGGCAAGGACAAACACGGCCUCCCAUCAUCACAAAUUAUACAGUGCAUUCAGCACAUUUGGGGAAACCACAGGGGCUGACCCAGCCAGAGCGCAAUGAGAAACCAUUGUCCUGGGAAACUGCCUUCGUGAUGGCGGCGUCCCUUGUGACAGGGACAUGAGCUGUUCAUCUGGGAUGGCGUCUAUUGAAGUUGGAAUCAAGAAGAUGAGCGAGGAUAUCAGGUUGCCCCACACUCCGGAAGAUUGGAAUAUGAGGAAAAAGAUGCCAAAAUACUGGUUCACCACAUCUUUGCCCAGCUUUCCCACUUUUUCUGCUUGCAGAUUCCCAAUGACGGUGAGGUAGGAGUGCCACAUUCCUAUACAUUUGAUUUGACAGUACCUCAUACGUCCAGGGAAGUUGCCAGCAGUGCAGAACAUGGAACGUCC
rnacentral:sRNA from 1 species